rnacentral:lncRNA from 1 species
GUCCAAUGUUUUUCAAAUAUACUAAAUAAAACCUACAAGGAACAGUGCACACAUAGAUGUUCGUGGUCUACCAUAGAACUUUUCUUUUAGGUUGCGUUUUCUAGGGCAAGCAUCAAGCUUUAUUACGAAACAGUCUGGGCUAAAUCACACAUUACAGAUUCAGCUACACAAGCUGGAAAAUAAUUAUUGUCUAACACAAGAACUUCUCCACCAGGGAGCGAUAAACCUAGUUGAGCUAGGCAAUUAAUGGAUCGAUCAGCUAGCAAACCAUCACCUUAAAAACAUCAACGUGGAAUUGGACGAACCUGCUGUAUCUACUAUGCUAUGAGUCUCCCAGGUCCCUCUGUAUUUUCGACGACGGGGUACUAGGCGUCAAUAUAUACAGGUCGCAACACACAUAUACAACCCCAGCCAGGAAACAUGCCUAUGGUCCCCGCGACCGACGCAACCAAGCCGAGCUUGGCCUCAGGAUAGUAGAUCCCGUAUAGCAAGAGGCCGGAUGAGAUGACGAGUAACGCGAUACCAACGGAGAGCAGCAUGCACAUGCACGCGAACCCGAUGCCCUCGCCCGGCUCCGGCGCUACGUCGUCGUCGACCUUGCUGCGACCAGGAUUCUCGACGUCGGCCAUCGACCUCCUCCUUUUCUUUUGCUAGGCUGACUCUCGAAUUCUCGAUCGAUCUAGUCGGCAGCAGAGGCGUAGACGAUGAGGUGCGAUCGUCGAAAAUGAGAAGACCAGGACCUCGUCCUAGGGUUCCUUAUAUACUCGCAUGCAUGCGAAGGGUAGAUAUAUAUCCCUAACCGAUUUAAA